rnacentral:rRNA from 1 species
UCGAACGCCUCGCAAGAGGAGUGGCAGACGGGUGAGUAACACGUGGGAACGUACCCUUCGGUUCGGAAUAACUCAGGGAAACUUGUGCUAAUACCGGAUACGAUCGCGAGAUGAAAGAUUUAUCGCCGAAGGAUCGGCCCGCGUCUGAUUAGCUAGUUGGUGAGGUAAUGGCUCACCAAGGCGACGAUCAGUAGCUGGUCUGAGAGGAUGACCAGCCACAUUGGGACUGAGACACGGCCCAA